UACCCUAACCGUGCAAAGGUAGCAUAAUCACUUGUUCUUUAAAUGAGGACUAGUAUCAACGGCAUCACGAGGAUCCUACUGUCUCCCCCCUCUAAUCAGUGAAACUGAUCUCCCCGUGAAGAAGCGGGGAUAUACAUAUAAGACGAGAAGACCCCAUGGAGCUUUAAACCUGACAGCACCCGCUCAUUCUAUACCCCAUUAUUUGCCCGACCCCUGUCUGCUCAGUUUUAGGUUGGGGUGACCACGGAGUAUAAAAUAACCUCCAUGAAGAAGGGGAUAUUUCCCUUAUUAGAGAACCACACUUCCAAGAACUAAUAAAUUAAUUUUCAAUGACCCGAUACCCGAUAAUCGAUCAACGAACCAAGUUACCCUGGGGAUAACAGCGCAAUCCACCCUGAAAGCCCUUAUUAACAGGUGGG
rnacentral:rRNA from 1 species